AGUGGACUUUGCUUCCUAGCUGCCUGCCAAAAGAGAAACCACCUUUCCUGGGGCUGAUCUUAUGGGAAGGAUUGACUCUGGGGAAGGAGUUGCUUGUCUAAAAAAACCAGCAGAUGGAGUCUGUUGGAGGACAUGAGGGUCUGGCAGCAGCCUGAGAAACCAGCUCGAUUUUGUAAGCAAGUGAUGACUGAGAGCCUUUACCGUGUGAGAUGUGGCUGGAAACCUGCUGAAGAAGUCAGUGGAUGCUGAAGCCCCUGCCUCUGCAGAAAGCAGCUUUUCUGGACACUCAGAUGAUCCAAGUGUGCCCCUUAGGAAGGGACCUGGCCCCAAGCACAGGAGCCUCCUCCCAAGCCAGAAGGUGCAGCUGGAGUUUGCAUGGAGCAAAAUGUUGGAGGAAUGUCCUCUGUGGAGUGCUACUCCCAGCAGCCACGUCGUGCCCUCCAGAGCUGCCCUGGGAGCUGUGCACAGAGGAACCAUGAAGGUGAAAGGACUGUCUCACUGCUGAGAUGGCUUUGAUCCAGGACCAACCCUUCCCAGCCUGUGCCAGGCAUAGGUGUGGGCAUCGUGGCUGCUGUUGAACACUGCUAAUAUUACAAUUAAAAAA